AUUGAACGCUGGCGGCAGGCCUAACACAUGCAAGUCGAACGGUAACAGGAAACAGCUUGCUGUUUCGCUGACGAGUGGCGGACGGGUGAGUAAUGUCUGGGAAACUGCCUGAUGGAGGGGGAUAACUACUGGAAACGGUAGCUAAUACCGCAUAACGUCGCAAGACCAAAGAGGGGGACCCUCGGGCCUCUUGCCAUCGGAUGUGCCCAGAUGGGAUUAGCUUGUUGGUGGGGUAACGGCUCACCAAGGCGACGAUCCCUAGCUGAUCUGAGAGGAUGACCAGCCACACUGGAACUGAGACACGGUCCAGACUCCUACGGGAGGCAGCAGUGGGGAAUAUUGCACAAUGGGCGCAAGCCUGAUGCAGCCAUGCCGCGUGUAUGAAGAAGGCCUUCGGGUUGUAAAGUACUUUCAGCGGGGAGGAAGGGAGUAAAGUUAAUACCUUGGCUCAUUGACGUUACCCGCAGAAGAAGCACCGGCUAACUACGUG
rnacentral:rRNA from 1 species